rnacentral:rRNA from 1 species
UACGUAGGGGGCAAGCGUUAUCCGGAUUUACUGGGUGUAAAGGGAGCGUAGACGGCAUGGCAAGCCAGAUGUGAAAUACCGGGGCUCAACCCCGGGACUGCAUUUGGAACUGUUAAGCUGGAGUGUCGGGGAGGCAGGCGGAAUUCCUAGUGUAGCUGUGAAAUGCGUAGAUAUUAGGAGGAACACCAGUGGCGAAGGCGGCCUGCUGGACGAUAACUGACGUUGAGGCUCGAAAGCGUGGGGAGCAAACAGG